UAAGCAGGUUGUAAAUGAGUCUAGAAGGUUUAGUGAAUUUUCAGUGUGUUCCUCGGCCCCACUAUGCAUUAGUGUGUUAUCACACAGAAAUCAGUUCCUGAAGGAAAGGGCCCCAGGGGCAGACAGAACUACAGGUUGUACAGCAGCCAUCCUGUGAGCAGCAGCGGAUACUGAAGAGCUCGCUCUAGGCUCUUGGUCUCCUUUGCAGUCUGACUGUGUGAGCCACUACCAGGAGCACUCUUGAAGGUACAGGUUUCGAGAUCUGCUGCUAGGGGACCAAGGAUGGCAAAACGACGACAGGUGAGCAGAGUGGUGCAGCGUGGUUCCCUUCACACAGCUGGGAAAAAGUGACAGAGGUGGGAGGCUGAAGGGGAAGAGGAGAGGAAGGAGAGAGGCCAAAGGGAGACCGCCACCCCGGGCGAGGGAGUGAAGGAACCUGACGCCUCUCUCCAUUUUGAUCCGCACCGCACUUGCUAUGGACAGGAACUCUUCCUUUUCACUUCGUAACUCUGGCCAGGUGUUUAUUACCUUUCUCCGGGGCUUAUUCUUUGGUCAGUCGAUGCUUUCCUUGGCCGUGAUGAUGCUGGUGUGUCAGAGGUACAGUGCAUCCAAAUGCCACGCAGUACUGCUGCCAAAUGAUGUUCAGGAUUUUCCUUAGGUGUGGUUCCAUGCAAGUUGAUGGGAAAAGCACAUUAGAAACUUAAAAAUCUCCUACACCUAUUUCCUUACACCUUGCCAGUGUUGUCUUGACUACUUGCCACUAGGAAUUUUGAUGCUGUUUAGACAUUGGGAGUUUCAGAUAGACAGUUGGUUUAGAUAUGUAACAGGUAGUUAGUGAAAUUGAUCACCGCUGCAUAGAAAAUGCUUAUUUUGAAAGGGGAACUGAAUAUUAUGAAUAAUGGUGUUUGUAUAGCAUGAUGCAGCCUUUCCACGAAGUGUAUUUUUAACCUGAACAGUAUAUAUGUCUCAAAAUUAAAACUAAGUUUCCAAAGUAGAAUAUAUAUUUCUAGCAAGCAUAUUGCUCGUGUGUUUUUAUCAGUAGCAUCUAUGCUUUAUGUAAAGUUGCAAAAUUCUUCUAAGCUAUCGCUACCAGAUUAUAAAAAGCACGUUUUGUGUUUUCAUUGAAUUCUGUGUUUUCUAGAAAAAUCGUUUCAUGUAUCACAUGCCACAUUGUCUUGUUUUUAAAUGGUGUAUGUAUAAUAACUAAGCUUUUAACUCAGUUAAGAUGUUUCCUUGAAGUUCAGUUUGGCAUUAAUGUUCUAUUUGAGUUAAAUAAAAG
rnacentral:lncRNA from 1 species